UACAGAGGGUGCGAGCGUUAAUCGGAAUUACUGGGCGUAAAGCGUGCGUAGACGGUUAUUUAAGUCUGUCGUGAAAUCCCCGGGCUCAACCUGGGAAUGGCGAUGGAUACUGGCGAGCUAGAGUGUGUCAGAGGAUGGUGGAAUUCCCGGUGUAGCGGUGAAAUGCGUAGAGAUCGGGAGGAACAUCAGUGGCGAAGGCGGCCAUCUGGGACAACACUGACGCUGAAGCACGAAAGCGUGGGGAGCAAACAGG
rnacentral:rRNA from 1 species